UGAUCUACCGUCCAUUUCUCUUCCGUGGUUUAAUGCAGUAAGAAUUGUUAAAAGUAUAAAAUCAAAAAGGGUUUUUCUUAUAAAAAUGUGUCCGAGAAAUCCGAACGUCUUUCUGUCAAACGAGUGAAACUGGCAGCAAAUAUUGCGAAUCUGGCAUUUAUGGAAACGGAUUCUGAAAAAUCAGGAAUCAUUCCGGAAGUGGUGGAUCCGGGAGAGAGUUGCUCACGAGCAACGCUUUCAAUCAAUCUCAAUCAAUAUCUGAAAGUUCAGCAAUUGAAACAACCAAUGAUUUGGAGGCACCUGUAGCCGUUGCGUCUGUUAUAAGAUAUCAUAAGACGCCGCAACCGGAAACAAGUUCUAUUGAGCAGGAUCUAAACGAUGCAGCUACGAUUAUAAAAAAAGCUGGAAGACAAACACCACUGUAACAAAAGACCACGGGAGCUACGUUCACUGAACUUCCCGGAUACCCGAAGAAAGACUGGCUUAUCAAAAUUUCACAAUCCAGCAAAGAUAGCGAUUACAUGUUUGUGAAGGAACUGUUAAUUGAAUUAUUUCCGGAAGGAACUGGCGAUGCAACUGUGACUGGAAAGUCAUCUAACAACCCGGGCGGAGUUAAAGGACUAUCAGCGAAACCUGUAGACAUUCCGGACAGAACACAGCUUGAUCCAUCAAAAGUGGGAUAUAUUAAAGGCUCAUAAUGCAGGACUCCCCAGGAACAGCUUACGAGAAGGCCGCCAAGAUAGCGUCUUUGAUCACACGCGUCACUUCGAACAAUCCAGGAAUUAAACAAAAGUAAAUUGGUAUUUAAUUUUUAUCAAUAUAUUUUGGAAGAGAAAACCGGUGAUCCACUAAUUGUUCAAGGAUAUAAAAAUAUGUAAACUCAUAUUUUAUUCUUAUCAGCUUCUUUGGAAAGAGAGAAAAAUGA